GAUGAACGCUGGCGGCGUGCUUAACACAUGCAAGUCGAGCGAAGCACUUGAGAUUGAUUUCUUCGGAAUGAAAUCUCAUUUGACUGAGCGGCGGACGGGUGAGUAACGCGUGGGUGACCUGCCCCAUACCGGGGGAUAACAGCUGGAAACGGCUGCUAAUACCGCAUAAGCGCACGGAGCUGCAUGGCUCAGUGUGAAAAACUCCGGUGGUAUGGGAUGGGCCCGCGUCUGAUUAGGCAGUUGGCGGGGUAACGGCCCACCAAACCGACGAUCAGUAGCCGACCUGAGAGGGCGACCGGCCACAUUGGGACUGAGACACGGCCCAAACUCCUACGGGAGGCAGCAGUGGGGAAUAUUGCACAAUGGGGGAAACCCUGAUGCAGCGACGCCGCGUGAGCGAAGAAGUAUUUCGGUAUGUAAAGCUCUAUCAGCAGGGAAGAUGAU
rnacentral:rRNA from 1 species